rnacentral:rRNA from 1 species
CCUACGGGAGGCAGCAGUGGGGGAUAUUGGACAAUGGGGGAAACCCUGAUCCAGCGACGCCGCGUGAGUGAAGAAGUAUUUCGGUAUGUAAAACUCUAUCAGCAGGGAAGAAAGAAAUGACGGUACCUGAGUAAGAAGCCCCGGCUAACUACGUGCCAGCAGCCGCGGUAAUACGUAGGGGGCAAGCGUUAUCCGGAAUGACUGGGUGUAAAGGGAGCGUAGACGGUAAUGCAAGUCUGGAGUGAAAGGCGGGGGCCCAACCCCCGGACUGCUCUGGAAACUGUGUAACUGGAGUGCAGGAGAGGCAGGCGGAAUUCCUAGUGUAGUGGUGAAAUGCGUAGAUAUUAGGAGGAACACCAGUGGCGAAGGCGGCCUGCUGGACUGCAACUGACGUUGAGGCUCGAAAGCGUGGGGAGCAAACAGGAUUAGAUACCCGGGUAGUC